rnacentral:rRNA from 1 species
AUGCACGCUGGCGGCGUGCCUAAUACAUGCAAGUCGAGCGCACAGACGAGGAGCUUGCUCCUCUGACGUUAGCGGCGGACGGGUGAGUAACACGUGGAUAACCUACCUAUAAGACUGGGAUAACUUCGGGAAACCGGAGCUAAUACCGGAUAAUAUAUUGAACCGCAUGGUUCAAUAGUGAAAGACGGUUUUGCUGUCACUUAUAGAUGGAUCCGCGCCGCAUUAGCUAGUUGGUAAGGUAACGGCUUACCAAGGCAACGAUGCGUAGCCGACCUGAGAGGGUGAUCGGCCACACUGGAACUGAGACACGGUCCAGACUCCUACGGGAGGCAGCAGUAGGGAAUCUUCCGCAAUGGGCGAAAGCUUGACGGAGCAACGCCGCGUGAGUGAUGAAGGUCUUCGGAUCGUAAAACUCUGUUAUUAGGGAAGAACAAAUGUGUAAGUAACUAUGCACGUCUUGACGGUACCUAAUCAGAAAGCCACGGCUAACUACGUG